ensembl:lncRNA
UUUUUCUUUUUUUUUUUUUUUUGUUUAAGUAAAUUGAAAAAAAAAGCAUGGGGAGAGGAAAGUCAACUUUGAUGAGAACAACCACUAACAACCAAUAGCACAUUUAAGGUUAACAUCUCUCUUAUUUCCACACAUGGGGACCUCUAGUGUUUUUUGCAGUACUGGAAACAAGUUCGGGUUAAAUAAUGUGGAGAUUUGCAAUUUUAUCCUCUGGGAAGUGAAGCUAGAAGAUGGAAAAAUAUUGGAACAUUUUGUGUAUUUUAGGAGAAAGAAGAAUCAUAAUUUAACAAUAAAAUUAGUAUUAGCUGUCAUGAUCUGAUCUGACAACUGAAACUAAGAAUGUGUGGCAAAAAAAAAAAACGUCUUGCAUCUGUUUUCUCCAUGUUUUCUUAACCAAAGUAUAACCUACCAAGUCUGGGAACCAACUAUCCUAGGUUAAUGUUUUGAUCUGUGUCUCUCUCUUUUCCUUUCCAAUGUAUUUCUCUGAUUGUCCAUUAUUCAUUUCCCGUAGCAUCUAAUACCCAUAUAAUGCAAAGAGCUCACCAUGUUUCCUAAUGGAUUCGUAUGUGUACAUAUGGCUCAUAUCUUGAAACAGUUUUUAAUUUCAUAUAGCUGUGCAGUCAGCUGCUGGUUUCUACUGCUUCUAGAAAACUUGCCAGACCAUCUGCAGACUCUCUAAUUAUACUUUCUGACCAGAGGGCAACUGGCAGGAAUUAAAUAUGUUAUGAUUGUAUUCAACAAAAUUUCAGGAUUCCAAUGCUCUAGUUCGGAAGCAAUACCAGCUGGCCUUCAGUAGGAGACAGAGGUUAACAAGGCCCCCUGCUUCAACUGUAGUAAGGCUUCUCUGAGUCAGCAAAUACUGUUGACACUUAGGAGUAGCAGAAAUCAGAUCCUGUACAAAUAUCAAUCAUCACCUGGUCAGAAUAAUAGGACUGGGUAUGUGAACAAUAAUAGAAAGCUUUUCUAGAUGCUGGACGUACCUUCUUGGGAUCAGGAGGAAUUACUGUGACUGGCUUUGGGUCACAGCAAAUUAUAGGAUCGGGCUAACUAAUUGCAGCUUUAAGGAUUCCCCACCAGAAGAAAAUACUCGGUAGACUGAAGGAAGCAAACUAGUUUAGCUGACCCUCCAUGUGGCAGGUUACCUGGAUGUGAGUGUGUGGAGGAUGCCUCUGAAGCCUUGUAGACCAGUGUGGAUUCAGUUUAUCUGAAAGUGAUUGUCUACUUCCUCCUCAAUAGUCCACCCCAAAGUGGCAUGAUUUACAUAUGACAACAGAUUAGCAGUUACUCUCCUACACUUCUUCAUGCCUGCACUUCCAUCCACUUAGUUUUCACAUGUAACUACAUCACUUGCCUACCUAUGUAGCCGCCCAUAUAAAGGGAUGUUUUGGGGGAAGGGACACACACACACCAUACUCAAAUGCUGUUGCUACUGUUUUUGUUAUUGUAGGAGACCCUGAAGAUUUUGCAUUAGUUGAAAGGGACCUUCAUGACUUUAUUUUGUGAGUAGAAUGGCAGAUGGAGUGGAACAUGGGGAUAUGCAUGAGAAGAAAGAAAGAAAAAUUGACACGGAAUGGGUCCUUCAUUAUACGAGACUGGUGAGGGAACUGAUGUUAUUUAAAAAAUUUUACUUCAAAUUCCAGAGAUUAGCAGCUAUAUGUAUGUAGCUCCAGAGAGGUAGUUAUAUGAAGAAACACAGUGUUGUGGUGACCUUCCUUUGCUCCUUUUAAAAUCCAUCUUAUUGAGAUAUCAUGUUUAUGCAAUAUACCGCAUUCAUUUAAAGUGCACGGCUCAAUGCAUACACCUGUUAAACUACCGCCACCAUCAAGAUAGAGAAUAUUUCUGUCAUUCUCCAAAAUGUCUUCUUCCUUCUUUUCUAUCCAUCCCUCCCUCCACUCUUGGCCCCAGUCAACACUGAGCCGGUUUUGCGUCACAGCUUUUUUACAUCUUCUAGAAUUUUAUAUAAAUAGAAUCAUACUCUUACAUCUGGCAUCUUACACUUGACAUAAUAAUUUUGACAUUCAUUCAUUUUGUUGUGUAUAUUAGUAGCAUGUUUCUUUUUAUUGUUGAAUAAUAUUCUAUUGUAUGGGCGCACCACUUUUUGUUUAUCCACCACCUGUUGGUGAACAUCUGGAUUGUUUCAAUUUUUUAUUAUUUUGCAUAAAACUGCUAUGCAUUGUUUCCAAUUUGGGAUUAUUGUACAUAAAACUGUUAUAAAUGUUUGUGUACAAUGCUCUGUGUGGACAUACGUUUUCACUUCUUUUGGGUAAAUACUUGGGAGUGGAAUGUCUGGGUCAUAUGUUUAACUUUUUAAGAAAGUGACACUUUUUUUCAGAGUCAUUGAACCAUAUUACAUGCCCUCCAGGGAGCCAUGAGAGUUCCAGUUGCUCGACAUCCUCACCAACAUCUUUUUUCCUUUUUUUUAUUGCAGUAACAUUCGUUUAUAAUAUUAAUAUAAGUUUCAAGUAUACAUCAUUAUAUUUUGAUUUCUGUGUAGAUUGCAUCAUGUUCACCACCCAAAGACUAAUUACAAUCUGUCACCACACACAUGUGCCUAAUCACCCCUUUUACCCUCCUCCCUCCCUGCUUCCCCUCUGGUAACCAUCAAUGCAAUUGCUGUCUCUAUGUGAUUGCUGUUGUUUUUAUCUUCUAUUUCUGAGCGAGAUCAUACAGUAUUUGACUUUCUCCCUCUGAUUUAUUUUGUUUAGCAUAAUACUCUAAAGGUCCAUCCCUGUUAUCACAAAUGGCCAGUUUUCCUCCUUUUUAUGGCUGAGUAGUAUUCCAUUUGGUGUAUAUACCACAUCUUCUUUAUCCAUUUGUCCCUUGAUGGGAACCUAGGUUGCUUCUAAGUCUUGGAUGUUGUGAAUAACGCUGCAACGAACAUAGGGUGCGUAUGACUUUACGCAUUCAUGUUUUCAUGUUCUUUGGAUAUAUACCCAGGAGUGGAAUAGCUGGAUCAUUUGAUAGUUCUAUUCUUAAUUUUUUGAGGAGUCUCCAUACUGUUUUUCACAGUUGCUGCACCAGUUUGCACUCCCACCAGCAGUGUAUGAGAGUUUCCUUCUCUCUACAUCCUCUCCAAUGCUUAUUUUUUCCUGUAUUGUUAAGUAUAGCUAUUCUGAAGGAUGUGACGUGAUAUUUCAUUGUAGUUUUGAUUUCAUUUCCUUAAUAAUUAGAGAUGUUGAACAUCGUUUCAUUUGCCUGUUGGCCAUCUGUAUAUCUUCUUUGGAAAAAUGCCUGUUUAGAGCUUGUGCCCAUUUUUAAAAUGAGUAGUUUGUUUUCUGUUGUUGAGAUGUAUGAGUUCUUUGUAUAUUUUGGAUAUGAACUCCUUAUCAGAUAUAUGGUUUGCAAAUAUCUUCUCCUAAUUGUUAGGCUAUCUUUUCAUUUUGUUGAUGGUUUCCUUUGUUGUGCAGAAGAUUUUUAGUGUGAUGUAGUCCCAUUUGUUUAUUUUUUCUACUGUUUAUCUUGCCUGGUCAGUUAUGGUACUUGAAAACAUGCUGCUAAGAUGGUUGUUGAAGAGCAUACUGCCUCUAUUUUCUUCUAGAAGUUUCAUGGUUUCAGGUCUUAUAUUCAAGUCUUUAAUCCACUUUGAGUUAACUUUUGUGUAUAGUGUAAGAUAAUGGUCUGCUUUCAUUCUUUUGCAUGUGGCUGUCCAGUUUUCCCAACACUAUUGACAGAAGAGACUUUCUUUUCUGUAUUGUAUGUUCUUGGCUCACUUGUAGAAAAUUAGCUGUCCAAAGAUGUGUGGGUUUGUUUCUGGGCUCUCGAUUCUGUUCCACUGAUCUGUGUUUCUGUUUUUGUGGCAGUACCAUGAAGUUUUGAUUACUAUUGCUUUGUAGUAUAUUUUGAAGUCUGAGAGUGAGAUACCUCCUGCUUCAUUAUUUUUUCUCAAGAUUCUUUUGGCUGUUUGUAGUGUUUUGUUGUUCCAUAUAAAUUCUAGGAUUCUUUGUUCUAUUUCUGUGAAAAAUGUUAUUGGAACUUUGAUAGGGAUUGCACUGAAUCUGUAGAUUACUUUAGGAAGUAUGGACAUUUUAACUAUGUUAAUUCUUCCAA